rnacentral:rRNA from 1 species
UACGUAGGGGUGCACGUUGCCGUGAAUUAUCGGUGGCGUAAAGGGCGCGUAGGCGGAUAUUUAAGUCGGGGGUGAAAGCCCAGGGCUCAACCCUGGAACAGCCUUCGAUACUGGAUAUCUUGAGUACGGGAGAGGUGUGGUGGAACUCCGAGUGUAGAGGUGAAAUUCGUAGAUAUUCGGAAGAACACCAGUGGCGAAGGCGACACACUGGCCCGUUACUGACGCUGAGGCGACGAA